rnacentral:rRNA from 1 species
UACGAAGGGGGCGAGCGUUGUUCGGAUUUACUGGGCGUAAAGGGCGCGCAGGCGGCGACCCAAGUCAGGCGUGAAAGCCCCGGGCUCAACCUGGGAAUGGCAUUGGAAACUGGCGAGCUGGAGUGUGGCAGAGGGGGGUGGAAUUCCGCGUGUAGCAGUGAAAUGCGUAGAGAUGCGGAGGAACACCGAUGGCGAAGGCAGCCCCCUGGGCCAACACUGACGCUCAGGCACGAAAGCGCGGGGAGCAAACAGG